GCUUUGUUCUCCCUUGUUGAAGGCGUCUCUACUCAGGGUGCGUUCCAGGGCAUCGGGAUGAGGGCGUUUCUACCCGGAGUGCAUUCCAGGGCUACGGGGAUUAUAGUUUCUGGCUUGUCCUGGAGAAAAGAUCCGCAAAGAGACUCCCUACCCUGCGGCACGGAAAGCUUGAAGGACACUCCAGGACGAAAACAGCGGCAAGGUGGCUGGUUCUGCCUUUGUCUAGGAAUGGUCAGCAGGUUAAAUUGAGGUUCUGAACAGCUCUGCUCAGAUGGAAACUCAGAUCAGAGCAAAGGACGCACUCUUCCUUGACUUUGACGGCAUUUGUUUGCGUUGCCCUGCGGUGCACAGUGUGUUCCUUGUAUUUCUGCCUCGGCCGUGGUCAUUCCUCGCAAAGGUCUGAGUUAAGAAGCUAAGCUGGAGAUGAGCAGGGGAAGUGGUUCUCAGCUUGUGGUGUUAAACUUUCUCCAGACCAGAUCGUGUUGCUUUUGGAGUGGCUCUUAGAGCAGAAGACCCUGAGCCCCCAGACAUUGCAUCGUCUCCAGCAGACGUACCAUCUCCAGGAGCAGGAUGCAGAGGUUCGCCAUCGAUGGUGUGAACUGGUUAUUAAGCACAAGUACACAAAGGCAUAUGAUCAGGUCAAGAGGUUCCUACAGGAGGAUCAGGCCAUGGGCAUAUACCUCUACGGGGAGCUGAUGGUGAGUGAGGAUGCCAGGCUGCAGCAGCUUGCCCACCGGUGCUUUGAGCUGGUAAAGGGACACAUGGACAAAGCAUCCGCCCAGGUGGUGACCGAAAUGCUGUUCUAAAGAGGACAGAUCACAGUGAGAUUCUCUUUCAUACACCUUCUCCUAGCCCUGGUGGGGCCAGGACUGCAUUGACCCUGGACAUCAAAGGGAAGAUUAUGUGGCUGCUAAGGCCAUCAGCCCACAGCAGCGGUUGGUCCAGCUUGGGCUUCUGGCUCCCAGAGCCCGGGCUCCCGUGGCAUAUAUAAAAGGCGGAGCCUCAUAAACUGUUGCACCUGGCAGCUGCCUUUGUCCCCAGUCCUAGAGACCGAGUCUACACACUGGAAUUGAGCUGUGACUUGAAGGCAGUCCUUCAAAAGAAUGAAGGAUACCCUCCCCUAGGCAGAUGGAGAACCGACUGCCUGCUUCCUGUGAUUGCAAGCACUAGCUGCCAUGCUCUGGGACUGCAGAAUCACAUGACACCUCCUGUGGCUGGCCCCCAAGGACUCUGCAGAGACCCUUUGAUGUGUUCAGUCAAUAGAGCAUUCCUGUUUUUGAAAAUGCAGGGAAGCCUAAGAUGUCUUAAUAAAGUACCGGAUUUGCUGGUG
rnacentral:lncRNA from 1 species